GGAAGUGUGCCUGAAAAUUAAGGACCUCCUUGAUAGGGAGAACUAUAGGGGCUAAACCCCCUCGCUUCCU
rnacentral:tRNA from 1 species